ACACAUGCAAGUCGAACGAGAAUCUGCUGAAGGAGGAUUCGUCCAACGGAUGUAGAGGAAAGUGGCGGACGGGUGAGUAACGCGUGAGGAACCUGCCUUGAAGAGGGGGACAACAGUUGGAAACGACUGCUAAUACCGCAUGAAGCAUAGGGGUCGCAUGAUCCUUAUGCCAAAGAUUUAUCGCUUCAAGAUGGCCUCGCGUCUGAUUAGCUGGUUGGCGGGGUAACGGCCCACCAAGGCGACGAUCAGUAGCCGGACUGAGAGGUUGAACGGCCACAUUGGGACUGAGAUACGGCCCAGACUCCUACGGGAGGCAGCAGUGGGGAAUAUUGGGCAAUGGGCGCAAGCCUGACCCAGCAACGCCGCGUGAAGGAAGAAGGCUUUCGGGUUGUAAACUUCUUUUAAGAGGGAGGAGCAGAAGACGGUACCUCUAGAAUAAGCCACGGCUAACUACGUGCCAGCAGCCGCGGUAAUACGUAGGUGGCAAGCGUUGUCCGGAUUUACUGGGUGUAAAGGGCGUGCAGCCGGGUCUGCAAGUCAGAUGUGAAAUCCAUGGGCUCAACCCAUGAACUGCAUUUGAAACUGUAGAUCUUGAGUGUCGGAGGGGCAAUCGGAAUUCCUAGUGUAGCGGUGAAAUGCGUAGAUAUUAGGAGGAACACCAGUGGCGAAGGCGGAUUGCUGGACGAUAACUGACGGUGAGGCGCGAAAGUGUGGGGAGCAAACAGGAUUAGAUACCCUGGUAGUCCACACUGUAAACGAUGAAUACUAGGUGUGCGGGGACUGACCCCCUGCGUGCCGCAGUAAACACAAUAAGUAUUCCACCUGGGGAGUACGAUCGCAAGGUUGAAACUCAAAGGAAUUGACGGGGGCCCGCACAAGCAGUGGAUUAUGUGGUUUAAUUCGAAGCAACGCGAAGAA
rnacentral:rRNA from 1 species